GCGCUGAAUAGCCGGCGCGCGUGCUCUUGUUCUCCGGACUGCCAACGGUUUCCCUGGCAACGGCUACCUGGAGGCUAACCCAGCGCCAAAGGGACUUCUAACAUGGUAAAGGGAAUAAAAUAUGUACGUAACAGGUAAGUGAUGCAGACUGAGUGUCCUGAGAGAGAACCCAAGGGCUACAAGCUUUCAAAGAGCAUAGAAACUUCUUUAUACGUGGGUGAUCAAUGAAGCUUCAUGAAGUGACAUUUCAGCUGAGUCUUGAAUACUUUUGAAAGGUAGGCGUAUGCGUGUGUGUGUGUGUGUGUGUGUGGUGUAGUCCGUGUUUGUGCAUGAAGAAGGUGGAGUCAAGAGCCAGCGAUUGACUACUUGUAGCUCCAGUACCUAGUUCAGUGACUGGCACAGUGUAGAUGUUCAAUAACUGUCAUGUGGUCUGAUUCAUAGACAAACCAUUGCCUGAUUAUCAGGGUUUUGGAUUUUCCUUUCUUUGGAAAACAAGACAAAAAGAAAUAACUAAAAUAUAAAAAUCAGAAGACACAUGCUGAUUUCAAAAGCAUUAAGGUGUGAGAGCAAAAUGCUUUUUUGAAUCUUGAGAACAUGGUAUUUGGUGAGUUUGAGUGCAGCAGAACUUUUGAGUACUAAAUUGGAGGCAUAUCAAUAGCUGGGAUAGAUACAAUAGCUGCAAGGUAGAUGGAACCAGAUUGUGUAAGGUCCUGGAUUCCAGGACUUUUCAUUUUUAACACAGAGUUGCUGAAGGAUUUUUGAGCAGGGAGUCUGCCAUAGAAAAAAUAAUAGAAUUAGUGAGAAAAUGAAUAUUGCUCUGAUGAGCAACAACAGAAAACCAAAAUGUAUUGAGCAUUACAUAAUGACAAGAAAUAUGCUAACUGGUUUUGAAUGUUAUUUAAUUCAGCAACCUUGGACAGAUAUUAUUCAUCCCAUCUUUCUGUUGAGGAACACUAGCUCAGAGAGGAUUAAAAACUUUCCCUGGAUACUGCUAGUGGAUUGUGACAUCGUUUGCUUUCCAACAAAAAGCUGAAAGGUGUGAAACUGGAGACCAAGUAAGAGGACUAUGAGCUAUUGAAUUUGGAGAUAUCUUGCGCUGGAUUGCUUCUUCCCACAUGUCAGUCUACUCUACAGGAGGCAGUUCUUAAGAUCUAAUACACUGCACAGAACUUCCUUGCCUUCUGGCUUCCAGUAGAGGUUAGCUAAUGGGAGGAACUGGCAAGGGACCAAAGGGAUGAAGGAGAAUGAAGUUGAGGUGUCUCUCCCAGCUGCCAUUCCUGGGACCUGGCUGGGUCACUGCUCAACUGAAGGUCACAACUCCUGGCCAUCAUCACAUGAGAAAACACAGCUUACAAUGGCAUCCUUACGCUGAUAUGUGUUCAAAUGUUUCUUCUUUCAAGGAGCCAGAAACUAGCCCAUCCAGUGGUAUAGUGCUGGUUCGAAGUAAAACGCUUAUAACCAGACACUGACAAUAAGAAGAUUGCUCAGUGUGGAGAACCCAAUAGCAAACCACAGUUCAUGGAGCCCAAAGAGUCUCACCCUACUGAUUUUCUCCUAGUGUUUCCCAGACUUGGUUUGUAAAGGGCUGAGAAACUGAUAUCUUGAACUUGGCAAAGGUUAGCAAACCUCCCUUGCAGUGCUCAUUGUAUAUAUAACUUUUUUUUUUUACAAUAGUUGACUCCUUCACCCUUUUUUGGGGGGGGGGGUACCAAAAUAUAAAAGAUAAAGGGAUAAAGCUGAAAGUCUGGCGUUGGCCAUUUCCCACACAAAAAUCUAAGCCCCCUAAGUUAUUUGGGCAUUUGAUGGCUUUCAUUUAAAGCUAAGGAUACAUAUUUUAUUUAGGAACUUAUAUUUUAUUUAUAAACUUAUCUAUGUACAAGGUUUGUAGCAGAACUACUUCCAGCUGUGUAUCCUGUAGCUCAAAUUCACAACGGCUCCUUUCUUUCAAGGUAAAAGAUACCAAUAGCAUAUUAGAUACUAUUAUCUUUAUUACCUUAAGAAAAUUGGGAUGUUGUGAGGAUUUACCCAGCUAAUACAUGCAAACUGCUUAGCCUAGGGUCUGGCGCAAAAGUCACUGCUACAGGAAAAUAAAUUAACAGUUACUGAGCACCCACCACUGUGCCACGCAGUGCAGAGCUUUCCCAUAGUUGAUGGCAUUUAACUACCCUUAGUCCUAGCAAGGGGUUCGGGAUGCUAAGUGCUGAGCCAAAGGACAGGCGUGCUGAGGUCCUCACCGACACAGGGAGGGCAAGGGGGCGCGGGAGCGCGCGUCCGGAGGCGCAGGCGCGGCGGCGCGCGCUCAUCCUCCGCUGCUGGGGGCGCUGCUUGUUGCCUCCACUCGCCGCGCCGCGGUCGCCCGCGUCAGGCCGGCUCCAUGAGGACGAAGCACGUGAACGUGCUGAUCGCGCUGGCCGCCUUCGUGCUUUUUAGCUUCUCCUGCUUCUGCAUCUCCAGGAUGACUCAAACUAGUAAUCAAUUAAUUAAUUGUAGAAACCAUAUUUUGGAAUUUAAGGAGAAAAUUCUACGUUUAAAAAAUAAAACUGAAAGAAAUCGCCAAGAGCUGAUCAAUGCCUUGAGUAAAAUGAAGUAUGAAAUGACACAGAGAGAAAAUACAUCCACGGACUUAGUUGAGAAGAAAAUGAAUACACUGGGUAAGGAUGAAACAGUGUCUAAUAAUACAUUUGAAGUCCUAAAGUUCUUUUUCCCUCAUCUAAGGAAAGUGGGCAGAAUUUAUCCUGAUGUAAUCAUUGGCAAAGAGAAAACAGGUGUCUCUUUUGCGCUGGGUAUUUCCACUGUUAGCAGAGGAAAUCAAAGUUACCUGAAGCAAACCCUGAAUUCUGUUGUCUCCAGGAUGACUCUCUCAGAAGAGAAGGACUCUGUGGUGAUUGUCUCGGUGGCAGAUAGAAAUGAAGAUUAUUUAAAAUCUGUUGUUGACAUGAUUACAAAAAGAUUCAAAAGGCAGCUGAAGUCUGGAUCCUUGGAAGUCAUUUCAAUACCUGCCUUUUUUUAUCCAAACAUGUUACACAUCAAGCAGUCAACUGAGGACUCAGGAAAAUUAGAGAGUUGGCGCAUCAAACAAGUACUGGAUUUUUGUUUUUUGAUGCUUUAUGCCCAACCAAAGGCCAUGUAUUAUUUACAGCUAGAAGAUGAUAUCAUAGCUAAAAAGAGGUACUUUACAAAAAUCACAGAUUUUGUGCAUAAUAUCACUUCAAAUAAUUGGUUUUAUAUUGAGUUUUCAAUUCUUGGAUUCAUAGGAAAGCUAUUUAAAUCUGAGGACUUAACUGACUUGGUGCGUUUUUUUUUAAUGUUCUACAAAGAUAAACCCAUAGAUUUGCUUUUGGGGGACAUUUUUCAGGUAAAGAUGUGUAACCCAGGAGAGACUCCUGAAAAAUGUGCAGAACGAAAUAAGCAAAUUCGUAUUCGAUAUAAACCUUCUCUUUUCCAGCAUGUGGGUAUACAGUCAUCAUUCUCUGGAAGAGAACAAUAUUCCAAAGAUAUUUAUUAUUAGGAGUUUCAUAAUUUGACUACCUUCUUUAAAAAUGAUCAGCAUCAUUCUUUGGAAAAAAUGACAUAAUGAGGAUUAGUCUUAGUUCUCAACUUUCUUCAUAGUGGCUAAGAGACUAUCUCAUAUAAAAAAUUAAGCCUUUGAUAAUAUAGUGAGAAUUACCCUUCAAGAGUGAAGAGAAGAUCAUCACCUCGCUCCAUGGGGCGGAAGAGGGUAUUUAGAGCUUCAACUACCUCAGACUUGCAAGCCAGUCUCACAGUUUUGCCCCAUCUUCACCUCCAUUUUUAGCAGUAGGGGGGUUUCUCUGCUGCACAUGGUACUUCUGUUUCCAUACAGCUUUCACAGACCUCCAUUCUGUUGCCAUUGUUUCCCCUCCCAUUCUGUUUGUAAGAUCCUGUAUUUUUAACUGACCCUGAAGGUUAAGUGUGACUUCUAGAAAAAGUGAAAGUAAAUACUUGUGCCUGAUUCACCGUCUUUAUUAGGCAGCCUACUAGUUCAUUCUUGAACUUUGACUCUUUGGCCUAUUUGUUUUUUAACUUCCAAAAACAAAAUUUUAAUUUCCAGGACUUUCAGCUGAUUCUUUUUAUGUACACAAUACCCUUCCUAUCUCUCGGAGACAAUUAGUUACACUUAAACAUUAGUACAUUAGCAUAUGUGUAAUUCAUUAUUUUAACCACUUUCUAUGCUUAUUGUUAGUUCUGCAUCAUUGCCAUCCUUCUCUCCAUCUCCUGUGUUUCUCAGGGGAAAACUCAUGCAGUACAGAAUAUCUUUCCCCACAAAGUGCCAUGUUAGAUUCUGUCAGUGAGAGAUAGUCCCAGUAGAUGUGGAAGACAGCAGAGAAGGUAACAGUUGCCUGCUGUGGACAGGAAAUUGAGAUCACACUUGCUGCCAGGCAGCUGAGAUCUGCCGUGGUUUCCAUAUGACCCUCGUACUUCCAUUUCCUGAACAUGCCUUCUUGACCUUUGCUCCCCCAAUCCUUCCAACAAUUGGGUUCACUUCCAGUUUGCUCCAUCUACAUUAAGUCUACUUCUUUAUACAGAAUACCUCCAGUGGCAUCUGUUUCCUUGACUGACCUCAGUUUUCCGCUGAAUUGAGAUUUUGUUUCCUGCUUGUUGAGACUCUCUAUUUGUUUCGUCUGUGAAUGCUGACUCUGUUUUCUGUCGCCUUCCUCCACUAUUGGUGGGAGGAAUGGGGCAGUCUCCUGCUGCUCCCUGUGCACACAAGCUUGUUUUCUGAGUAGGGAAGACCCUUCUUGCUUCUCCACUGGAAACACCCACACCCAGUGCCUCUGCUGGGGAAUGGUCGUUUCUGAUGUCUGCUGCUCUGCAUAAGCACGUAUAUUCCAACUGUGACUCUGCAGUUAACCCCAGGGCCCUUGCCUGUUCCCCUAUAUCCACUGUCUCUUGAGUUUGGGUCAUCCUUAGAGCUACUCUCACCUUUUUAGUAGCUGGUGCCAGUGUGUUUUGGAAUUUGAAAUCCUCCCCUUCUCAUCUGGUCUCAUAUGCUUUCCAUCUGACACUCCCUCAGAAUGAUUUCUAUGGAUGGACGGGUGUUCAUGCAGAAUUAACAUUUGAUACUUCAACAGUAAAAGGGGCACAAUCUGCAACUAUGUGAAUGGAACUAGAGGGUAUUAGGCUAAGCGAAAUUAGUCAGUUGGAGAAAGACAAAUAUCAUAUGACUUCAUUCAUAUGAGGAC